GCAGGCACCUGGGAGUUAUGAAUUUUAAAGUGAUCAUUUUCUUUCAGCCAUGCUGGACAAUGGGCAUCUCCUUUUGACUCACUUUCACAGCUUUGAGAGGCUCUCAGAUCAGCCACAUUCCAAUCGGACUGGAGUCAGAUCAGAGCUGUGCUGGACCGCAUCAAGGUCUCGCACAGAAAGACAAGGAGCAGAUGGCCGGCACCGAGCCCUCCUCCCCCUUUCAGCGUGCAAAGGCAGGCAAUGUGGGAAAGCGUUCGCCCGGCAUUGCCUAUUGAUCCCUGAAUAGAACCACCGCAUGCCACCAGCCUGUAGUUAGAAAGCUGCUCUGCUCAAUAAGAGCCCAAAUGAAUGACUACAUUCUUCAAAGAGACAAACUAAGAAUACACACUUUCAGUCAACUAAAUGACCUAAUACUGAAAAUACAAUGGCUUCAGAAAAGACAGACUAUUUACAGAACUCUAUUCGUGAAACAGACAUUAGAGACAAUCCAAUCCGAUCUCUGUUACAUUCAACCCUUAGAAAUAAGAGUAUGAAAGAGAAAAUACAUACUCUGGAAUCCAUUGGUCCUACCCCACUUAUUCAGAAUAAUUCAAUUAAAAACAACAUACACCAUAUAGGAAUGUCAACAGUGAAGAUUAUCAGGUUAGAUGAACUACAAAACGAGGAAGCCAACUGGAAAUCAGGACCUGAAACAGGAUUCAUCCCCUGGGCUUGAAAUCAUGCUGGAUACAAAGACGGCCAUGAAUAAUGGCCCAGGAAAAGCCCAGGUGAACUACUGUGUUCUUUCUGCUGCUGUGUUUUAUUCCUGCCUUUCUUUAUGUUGGUGUUCUACUUCAAGAUCACAGAGAAACUGGAACCUACCUCUUUACAACUUACAGUAGGAGGAAUUAUUAGUAGAAUAGAAACUUGGGUCCUGGAAGCUAUCUAGGAAUGUAUUGCCAUAACUGAGUUCCAGAUCAGAGUGAGAUCAAUAGCCUUUAGAGUUGUUAUAUAUAAAUCAAUGCAGUCCUUCCUUUCUAAAGUGGGACUGAUCUUGAAGACAGGGAGGCUGUUUGGCCACUCCUGGGGACACGUAGUGAAGCUAUAUGGGAAGGAUGGAUUCCCACCAGGAAAAGAGAAAAGAUCUGAUAGGCUUCUUUCUAUCUGGCUGAAAUGAAGGCCUAGAAUCUCCAAGUUUACUCACUUCUGAUUUUCCUGUGACUAUUCUAAGAACCAAUUCAGAGAUUUGCUAAAAAGUAGAGCUACAUAUAGAUUUUCUGUACUUUAAUUUUAAUGAGGGAUGCUGAGAAGUAGGCUUAAUCCCCCCAAAAUUCAUUGCAAUGUGUAUACAAGAACCUCUGGGACAUACGGGUAUACCUUACUUUAUUGUGCUUCACAGAUAUCGGGAGUUUUGUUGUUAUUGUUUUGGUGUUUUUUUUAGAGACAGGGUCUCACUCAGACGUCCAGGCUGGAGUGUAGUGGUGUGAUCACAGCUCAGUGCAGCCCCAAACUCCGGGGCUCAAGCAAUCCUCACACCUCAGCCUCCAGAGUAGGUGAAACUACAGGUACAAGCCACCGCACCCAGCAGAUAUUGUAUUUUCUUUUUACAAACUGAAGGUUUGUGGCAACCCCACUUUGAGCAAGCCUCUUGGCAUUUUUCCAACAGCAUGUGCUCAGUUUGUGUCUUUGUGUCACAUUUUGGUAAUUCUUACAAUAUUUCAAACUUUCACAUUAUUGUAAUAUCUGUUAUGGUGAUCUGUGAUCAGUGAUCUUUGAUGUUACUACUGUAAUUUUGGGGAGUGGCACAAAUUGCAUCCAUAUAAAAUGGCAAAUUUAAU
rnacentral:lncRNA from 10 species